rnacentral:tRNA from 1 species
GGUUGUUUGGCCGAGCGGUCUAAGGCGCCUGAUUCAAGAUAUCAUAUCUUAGCACUGUUAACAGUAAAAUACUCAGGUAUCGUAAGAUGCAAGAGUUCGAAUCUCUUAGCAACCA